UGGGAUAUCGUAUAAUGGUUAGUACAUCGGCCUUUGACUCCGAUAGCGGAAGUUCGACUCUUCCUAUCCCAG
rfam:TNVERIFIED: Cronobacter phage S13, complete genome.